ensembl:lncRNA
GAUGAGGGGUGCGAGAGGAUCCCUGCUGUCUGCUGGAGGAGUGGCCAUCACAGAGCACUCGACUUCCAUCCAUCUGCCUCCACAUCAGAAAUCCUCCUGACUUCUCAUCCUACUGAAGAGAGAAAAGAUCUUGAUGCCUCUUUUCUUUAUGGAGGCAAUACAGCGCACUGUGGAAACUGUGGUGGCUGGAGAUGUAAGACCAUGUCAUGACAGCAAAUGGGAUGCAGUCCUGAAGGUGUGACAGUAAGCAACAUUGUUGUGACUGCUACAGGACAGAGAUGUGCUGCCCCGAACACAGAGGAUGUCGAUCCGUCUCUUCUGCUACGAUUCCAAAAUCAAUUCCAUCGCCCUGUAGCGCUCCUUGAUCCUUCGCUGACUUCAGCAGAGCUGCAAGCAGUGGGGCAGUUCAUGAUCAGAUGACUUUCCAUUGACUCUGGGAGGCUUCUGGGUGUCUCUCCCAGCUCCUUAUUUUGUAAGCACUUACUGAAAUGCUGCCUGAAAAAACAAACACGAAGCUUAAAUCACUGGUCCAAGUCCCGGGGGGAUAUUCCCAUUCACUCCAAUGGGCACCGGCCCAGGCUCUCACUGUGCAGAGCAUGGUAACUUCAUUGCAAUAGGCCCUGUGAAGGCUUUGCCAAAUUAAAGUUAAAAUUU